UCCUCCCUCUGGCGGCGUGCUUAACACAUGCAAGUCGAACGGUGAAGCGAGUGCUUGCACUCGUGGAUCAGUGGCGAACGGGUGAGUAACACGUGAGUAACCUGCCCAUCACUCUGGGAUAAGCACUGGAAACGGUGUCUAAUACUGGAUACGACCAACCCUUGCAUGGGGUGUUGGUGGAAAGAUUUAUCGGUGAUGGAUGGACUCGCGGCCUAUCAGCUUGUUGGCGGGGUAAUGGCCCACCAAGGCGACGACGGGUAGCCGGCCUGAGAGGGUGACCGGCCACACUGGGACUGAGACACGGCCCAGACUCCUACGGGAGGCAGCAGUGGGGAAUAUUGCACAAUGGGCGAAAGCCUGAUGCAGCGACGCCGCGUGAGGGAUGACGGCCUUCGGGUUGUAAACCUCUUUCAGCAGGGAAGAAGCGAAAGUGACGGUACCUGCAGAAGAAGCACCGGCUAACUACGUG
rnacentral:rRNA from 1 species